rnacentral:lncRNA from 1 species
UGUGCGUACUUGGAGGGGUCCCUGCUUAUUUCUAUUUAUAGAGGGAGCAAAAUAAAUGGUGAGAGAAUAGAUGAUCAUGUCAAUCAUGUCCUGUCGUGCGGUGCCUCACGAUAUCGCAUGGACGUCUUUAAAUGCUGACGACAAAUGUAUCUUCUAUUUGGCAUAAGAAGAUGGCGGAUGCUACCGCACAUGGGGUAUUAUAAAUGAUCCUAUAGGCGCAUUAAAUAAAUUCGUGAUAUCCCAUCACGAGACGCUGCUAGCCGGUUAGGAUAUGACGUCUGAGUGACAUGCUUUGAUGUGGCCUGUCAGAAUGACGUGGUAGCCAUGUUCGGUCC